rnacentral:rRNA from 1 species
CCUACGGGAGGCAGCAGUAGGGAAUAUUGCUCAAUGGGGGAAACCCUGAAGCAGCAACGCCGCGUGGAGGAUGACGGUUUUCGGAUUUUUAACUCCUUUUUUUAGAGGAGAUAAUGACGGUAUCUAACGAAUAAGCACCGGCUAACUCCGUUCCAGCAGCCGCGGUAAUACGGCGGGUGCAAGCGUUACUCGGAAUCACUGGGCGUAAAGGGGGCGUAGGCGGGAUAGCAAGUCAGAUGUGAAAUCCUAUGGCUUAACCAUAGAACUGCAGUUGAAACUGGCAUUCUAGAGUAUGGGAGAGGUAGGUGGAAUGCGUGGUGUAGGGGUAAAAUGCGUAGAUAUCAAGAGGAAUACUCAUUGCGAAGGCGACCUGCUAGAACAUAACUGACGCUGAUGCGCGAAAGCGUGGGGAGCGAACAGGAUUAGAUACCCCGGUAGUC